rnacentral:rRNA from 1 species
AAGUCGAGGGGCAUCAGUUUGGUUUGCUUGCAAACCAAAGCUGGCGACCGGCGCACGGGUGAGUAACACGUAUCCAACCUGCCGAUGACUCGGGGAUAGCCUUUCGAAAGAAAGAUUAAUACCCGAUGGUAUAUCUGAAAGGCAUCUUUCAGCUAUUAAAGAAUUUCGGUCAUUGAUGGGGAUGCGUUCCAUUAGGUAGUAGGCGGGGUAACGGCCCACCUAGCCGACGAUGGAUAGGGGUUCUGAGAGGAAGGUCCCCACAUUGGAACUGAGACACGGUCCAAACUCC